rnacentral:rRNA from 1 species
GACGAACGCUGGCGGCGUGCUCAACACAUGCAAGUCGAACGGAAAGGCCCUGCUUUUGUGGGGUGCCCGAGUGGCGAACGGGUGAGUAACACGUGAGUAACCUGCCCUUGACUUUGGGAUAACUUCAGGAAACUGGGGCUAAUACCGGAUAGGAGCUCCUGCUGCAUGGUGGGGGUUGGAAAGUUUCGGCGGUUGGGGAUGGACUCGCGGCUUAUCAGCUUGUUGGUGGGGUAGUGGCUUACCAAGGCUUUGACGGGUAGCCGGACUGAGAGGGUGACCGGCCACAUUGGGACUGAGAUACGGGCCAGACUGCUACGGGAGGCAGCAGUGGGGAAUAUUGCACAAUGGGCGGAAGCCGGAUGCAGCAACGCCGCGUGCGGGAUGACGGCCUUCGGGUUGUAAACCGCUUUCGCCUGUGACGAAGCGUGAGUGACGGUAAUGGGUAAAGAAGCACCGGCUAACUACGUG